rnacentral:rRNA from 1 species
UACGUAGGGUGCGAGCGUUAAUCGGAAUUACUGGGCGUAAAGGGUGCGUAGGCGGCCGAGCAAGUCUGGUGUGAAAGCCCCGGGCUUAACUUGGGAAUUGCGCUCGAAACUACUUGGCUGGAGUGUGGCAGAGGAAGGUGGAAUUCCAGGUGUAGCGGUGAAAUGCGUAGAGAUCUGGAGGAACACCGAUGGCGAAGGCAGCCUUCUGGGCCAAAACUGACGCUCAUGCACGAAAGCGUGGGGAGCAAACAGG